GACAUAUUAAAUAUCUUUUGUCUCAUAGACCAAUCAGAUUUACAACUGAAAUACGGUUGUAAAGGCGGAUUUCCAGUCCUCGCACGAAGCUCCUCGCUGCGAGUGAUGCCUCAGCACUUUCAUCCAAUCACAAUGCUAAACAGUUAAUUUUAAUUAGAUGCAAGCACUCGCAGCGAGCUGCGAGGAGCUUCGUGUGAGGACUGGAAAACCACCUUUAAGCAUGGACUUUUGUUAAGGUUUGUAUCAGACCUAUUUAUUUAGGCC